UACGGAGGGUGCGAGCGUUGUCCGGAUUUAUUGGGUUUAAAGGGUGCGUAGGCGGCCUGUUAAGUCAGCGGUGAAAGUUUCCGGCUCAACCGGGAGACUGCCGUUGAUACUGUCAGGCUUGAGUAAUGGAGGGGUACAUGGAAUUUAUGGUGUAGCGGUGAAAUGCAUAGAUACCAUAAGGAACACCGAUAGCGAAGGCAUUGUACCGGCCAUUUACUGACGCUGAGGCACGAAAGCGUGGGUAGCGAACAGG
rnacentral:misc_RNA from 1 species